rnacentral:tRNA from 1 species
GCGGCUGUGGUGAAGUGGUUAACACACUGGAUUGUGGCUCCAGCAUUCGUGGGUUCGAGCCCCACCAGUCGCC